rnacentral:rRNA from 1 species
UGGGGAAUAUUGCACAAUGGGCGCAAGCCUGAUGCAGCCAUGCCGCGUGUAUGAAGAAGGCCUUCGGGUUGUAAAGUACUUUCAGCGGGGAGGAAGGGAGUAAAGUUAAUACCUUUGCUCAUUGACGUUACCCGCAGAAGAAGCACCGGCUAACUCCGUGCCAGCAGCCGCGGUAAUACGGAGGGUGCAAGCGUUAAUCGGAAUUACUGGGCGUAAAGCGCACGCAGGCGGUCUGUCAAGUCGGAUGUGAAAUCCCCGGGCUUAACCUGGGAACUGCAUUCGAAACUGGCAGGCUAGAGUCUUGUAGAGGGGGGUAGAAUUCCAGGUGUAGCGGUGAAAUGCGUAGAGAUCUGGUGGAAUACCGGUGGCGAAGGCGGCCCCCUGGACAAAGACUGACGCUCAGGUGCGAAAGCGUGGGGAGCAAACAGG